rnacentral:rRNA from 1 species
GACGAACGCUGGCGGCGUGCUUAACACAUGCAAGUCGAACGGAAAGGCCUCUUUCGGGGGGUACUCGAGUGGCGAACGGGUGAGUAACACGUGAGUAACCUGCCCUUGACUUUGGGAUAACUUCAGGAAACUGGGGCUAAUACCGGAUAGGAGCUCCUGCUGCAUGGUGGGGGUUGGAAAGUUUCGGCGGUUGGGGAUGGACUCGCGGCUUAUCAGCUUGUUGGUGGGGUAGUGGCUUACCAAGGCCUUGACGGGUAGCCGGCCUGAGAGGGUGACCGGCCCCAUUGGGACUGGGAUACGGCCCAGACUCCUACGGGAGGCAGCAGUGGGGAAUAUUGCACAAUGGGGGGAAGCCUGAUGCAGCAACGCCGGGUGCGGGAUGACGGCCUUCGGGUUGUAAACCGCUUUCGCUCAUGACGAAGCUUUGGGUGCGGGUAGUGGGAAAAAAAGCCCCGGCUAAUUCCGU